rnacentral:rRNA from 1 species
GAUUAAGCCAUGCAUGUCUAAGUACAUGCCGAAAUAAGGCGAAACCGCGAAUGGCUCAUUAAAUCAGUUAUGGUUCCUUAGAUCGUUUCUUCCUACUUGGAUAACUGUGGCAAUUCUAGAGCUAAUACAUGCAGUGAGCCUGGAGCCCUUUGGGUAACGGGUGCUUUUAUUAGACCAAGAUCGAUCGGGUUUCGGCCCGUAUUGUGUGGUGACUCUGGAUAACUUUGUGCUGAUCGCAUGGCCACGAGCCGGCGACGUUUCUUUCAAGUGUCUGCCUUAUCAACUUUCGAUGGUAGGUUACUUGCUUACCAUGGUUGUUACGGGUAACGGAGAAUCAGGGUUCGAUUCCGGAGAGGGAGCCUGAGAAACGGCUACCACAUCCAAGGAAGGCAGCAGGCGCGCAAAUUACCCACUCCCGGCACGGGGAGGUAGUGACG